GUGAAUCAUCGAAUUUUUGAACGCAAAUUGCACUUUCUGGUAUUCCGGAGAGUAUGCCUGUUUGAGGGUCAGCCUAAAAAAAAUCGACAUCGUUGCUGUUUCGCGGUGACGUUCGUCGGAAAUUGGGUCAUCUUAAACCUUUUGGUUUAAGCGACUUAAAAUUUUCUUUUUGAUUCCAUGAACGUUUCUAAGAUUUAUUUCUUUACACGUUUAAGGUAUCGAUUUAUUAGACGUGGCCGUCAUAUCGGAUCGCGUCCAUAAUAAUUUCUUUAACUGACCUCAGACAGGUAAGAGUACCCG
rnacentral:misc_RNA from 1 species